rnacentral:rRNA from 1 species
AGAGUUUGAUCAUGGCUCAGGACGAACGCUGGCGGCGUGCUUAACACAUGCAAGUCGAACGGAAAGGCCCUUCGGGGUACUCGAGUGGCGAACGGGUGAGUAACACGUGGGUGAUCUGCCCUGCACUUUGGGAUAAGCCUGGGAAACUGGGUCUAAUACCGAAUAGGACCACGCGCUUCAUGGUGUGUGGUGGAAAGCUUUUGCGGUGUGGGAUGGGCCCGCGGCCUAUCAGCUUGUUGGUGGGGUAAUGGCCUACCAAGGCGACGACGGGUAGCCGGCCUGAGAGGGUGACCGGCCACACUGGGACUGAGAUACGGCCCAGACUCCUACGGGAGGCAGCAGUGGGGAAUAUUGCACAAUGGGCGCAAGCCUGAUGCAGCGACGCCGCGUGAGGGAUGACGGCCUUCGGGUUGUAAACCUCUUUCAAUAGGGACGAAGCGCAAGUGACGGUACCUAUAGAAGAAGCACCGGCCAACUACGUGCCAGCAGCCGCGGUAAUACGUAGGGUGCGAGCGUUGUCCGGAAUUACUGGGCGUAAAGAGCUCGUAGGUGGUUUGUCGCGUUGUUCGUGAAAACUCACAGCUUAACUGUGGGCGUGCGGGCGAUACGGGCAGACUAGAGUACUGCAGGGGAGACUGGAAUUCCUGGUGUAGCGGUGGAAUGCGCAGAUAUCAGGAGGAACACCGGUGGCGAAGGCGGGUCUCUGGGCAGUAACUGACGCUGAGGAGCGAAAGCGUGGGGAGCGAACAGGAUUAGAUACCCUGGUAGUCCAA